GGAUGUGAGGGUGAUCUGGCUGCAACAUCUGUCACCCCAUUGAUCGCUAGGGGUGAUUCAGCUGGUCUGGCUGGCUAGGCGGUGUCCCCUUCCUCCCUCACCACUCCGUGUGCAUCCCUCCCAAAGCUUCACGCUGGGUCAAAGGGACGACCAUCCCUGAUGGAGGAGGACGGGUCUUCGGUCAAGGGUAUAGGAGUAAUAGGAGUAACUGCAUUCCCCCACUGGAACUUCCAACCAAGCUCUCAAGAAAUGAAUCUCUUAACAAAUUCAGUGGCAUAUUUUUCAUCCAAUUAAUUCAUGUAUAGCAGGUCUUU
ensembl:misc_RNA 7SK 7SK RNA